rnacentral:rRNA from 1 species
UACGUAGGGUGCGAGCGUUGAUCGGAAUUACUGGGCGUAAAGCGUGCGCAGGCGGUUCGUUAAGUUCGUCGUGAAAGCCCCGGGCUCAACCUGGGAAUGGCGAUGGAAACUGGCGGGCUGGAGUGUGGCAGAGGGGGGUGGAAUUCCGCGUGUAGCAGUGAAAUGCGUAGAGAUGCGGAGGAACACCGAUGGCGAAGGCAGCCCCCUGGGCCAACACUGACGCUCAGGCACGAAAGCGUGGGGAGCGAACAGG